CUAACAAGGAUUCCCUUAGUAA
rnacentral:snRNA from 1 species